GACGAACGCUGGCGGCGUGCCUAAUACAUGCAAGUUGAGCGCUGAAGGUUGGUACUUGUACCAACUGGAUGAGCAGCGAACGGGUGAGUAACGCGUGGGGAAUCUGCCUUUGAGCGGGGGACAACAUUUGGAAACGAAUGCUAAUACCGCAUAAAAACUUUAAACACAAGUUUUAAGUUUGAAAGAUGCAAUUGCAUCACUCAAAGAUGAUCCCGCGUUGUAUUAGCUAGUUGGUGAGGUAAAGGCUCACCAAGGCGAUGAUACAUAGCCGACCUGAGAGGUGGUUCGCCAACAUGGGGCCGGGAAACCGCCCAAACCCCUUCGGGGGGGAGCCAGAAGGAAACCUUCGGCAAGGGAGGAAGGUCGAACCAAGCAACGCGGCGGAAGGAAAGAGGGUUUUCGGUUCGUAAAACUCGGUUGGUAAGGAGGAACGUUGGGGGGGUUGGAAGGCCCACCAAUUAACGUAACCUACCAAGAAGGGACGGCUAACUACGUG
rnacentral:rRNA from 1 species